CCUUACUUUCGUCAAUCACAAAUCAUGCCCUGGCGACCUCUUCCUCGGAUUGCAUUCGCUGUCGCAAUCUAUCCCUUCCAGCCUUCGUCUCCCGCGGACCUCCCACUAGAACUUGGCGAUGAACUUUACAUAAUUGAACAAGGAGGGGCUAAUGGAUCUUGGUAUCGGGGUUAUCUCGUUGCGCCUCCUUCACUACUGGCGGGCUUAACCAGCGUGAAGGGGCGCACGCUCGAGGCAAGGGUAUUCUCAGGAAUCUUUCCCAAAAAUUGCGUGGAGGUGCGAGAGGUCCUAGGUGAUGUAGACGGGUCAAGAGACGGCAGAUUGAGCACUCAGCUCCCUCCAAGAAAAUAUGCUGGCUCGAGAACCAGCACCGCAUCCCCUGACAGUUUUUCCCUCACGGAUGGCAGGACGCUUGCCACUAGCGUAGGUGACCUUAAAGCGUCGCGGA
rnacentral:sRNA from 2 species